GACAGAGGAUGCAAGCGUUAUCCGGAAUGAUUGGGCGUAAAGCGUCUGUAGGUGGCGUUUUAAGUCCGCCGUCAAAUCCCAGGGCUCAACCCUGGACAGGCGGUGGAAACUACCAAGCUGGAGUACGGUAGGGGCAGAGGGAAUUUCCGGUGGAGCGGUGAAAUGACGUAGAGAUCGGAAAGAACACCAACGGCGAAAGCAACUCUGCUGGGCCGACACUGACACUGAGAAGACGGAAAGCUAGGGGGAGCGAAUGGG
rnacentral:rRNA from 1 species